UCUCCCACCUAUCCUAAACGCACGCGCACGACACAUCUCCUCCCUCAGUCCCUCGAUCCAGAUCCAGAUCCACAUCGCCUCCGCCUCCCUCUCCCCGAUCCAGAUCGCCGCCGCCACCCCUCCGCCACCCAAUGCCAUCCAUCCUCCCUUCCUUUGCCGGCGCCCCUUCCUCCCAACAACCUCUUUGCCCACGACCAUGGCAAGGAUCCAAAGCAGGUCAGCCGGCGGCGGCCAUGGCGCAUCUCUUCCUCACCCCAUAGCCGGCGGCGACCAUGGCAAGUCACCAGAGACGGGCGGAGCGGGAGGGGCUCGCGCCGCCGGGACAGACCCCCCCCCCCCCCCCCCCCCCCCCCCCUCCGACGACGCGGCUGGUGCGGGAGGGCUUCAACUCUUCUCAGGCGGGGCGGCCGUCGUCAACGGGCGCCAGUGGAUGUGCGGGCGCCACGUGAUGCGCCACUUCGGGUUGGACUGCCACGGCCUCCCCGCCGACUUGGCGAAGAAGGCGAAGAAGGGGAGGUCGCCGCUGGCGGAGGAGAUGGAGGCCUUCUUCGCCGCGGCGGAGGGCGACGUCGCGCGGCGCUUCGCUGCCAAAUGAGUACCGUGCAUGCAUGGGUUAGGCUUGGCAACAGCUUCAUCCUACUAGUCCUAUGCUCUUGAGGAAAAGCUGCUGCGGAUUUAUAUGGGAGUAGCUUAGCAAUGCAUGCGUAGCAGUGGGCCUGUAAAUUCUGCUCAAGGAGCCUCUGGUACAACUAUGACGUCGUCGCAGACGCUCCCAUGGAUGGGCAUCGGCAAGCUCCCAUGCUGAGAUCGACAAGCUCGACCUCGGCAUCGGCAAGUACAACAAGACCUGUUGCAGCAUCGUCACCAAGCACGUCGCCGAGUGGGAGGCCGUCGUCAUGCACAUGGGGAGGUGGAUCGACUACAAGGCCGACUUGCAAGGGGAGGUGGUCCAUCGCCUUGGCCGUCCUCACCGUCGGCUUCUCUCCUCUAAGUUAUCCCACUGAUUCCUCCCCUCUGCUUAUCUCCCAUGCUCUAUGUGGUAAAUCUUAUGAUGGCCUUGGCGCCAUGGAAAUUUCUGCUUUGGCCAUAAGAUCUUGGACUUGCUGUCAUCUUGGAUUGAUUAUAAGCUUGAUGUUGUCUUGGCUUCUUAGAACUAAGAAUAGUAACCCUCCAAAGUGAUAAUAUUCAGAAGCUCAUUGCACAUUUAGCUCUGAAGAAUUGUUCUACUCACAUUUUAUAUCAAACUUCUUACACAUUCAGAUCAGCUAGUACCAGGAGCUAGUGGUUGAGAGCUCUAGUUGUUGCACAAUGGCAAGAACUUUGAAUCAAUUUGGUAGUCCUAGUGCUGGCUGCUGCUACUGUAAUUCUGGAUAUGAUGAUAAUUACUUUAUGUAAUUAUUAAGCUCAUGAGGUGAUGACGAUAAACUAGGAUACAUAUUGAAGUGUAUGUAUUACAUGGUUCAUACUAGGUCAUUGCAAUUUUUGUUUGUUUGGUAUACAUUUAUUAAUCAGGCUGCUAAAAUAAAAAUGUUGGGUGCUUUCAUUGCCUGCAUGUUUAGUUAAGUGAGAGCCAGCUACCUGCAAGGUUGUUUGCAGGUCUAAUGAUGUGUGAAGAGCAGGCUUGCAAUGCCUGUCUUUUCUCAUAUUGCUCCAAACGUAACUAUGGCCUUCUCAUGAGGGGAUUCUAUGGCCUGUCCCCAUUUCUCUUUGUAGGUAAAGAUGUUGAUUUAGGUCCAGAUGGGUGUCUGCGCAAUUUAGCCUUUUUGUUUCUUGUGUCCCUAGUUUAGGUGUGUGUUCAAGCAAAAAAAGGUGGGUGUUGAUGUUGUUAUUGUGUCCUGGAGCCUCGAGUAAAGGGCAAGGAUGCAAUGCUUGUCGUUCUCAUACUGCUCCAAAGAGUAACCGUGGCCUUCUCAUGUAGAGUAUUGAUGCCUUGUGUAGGUAAUUAGUAUUAUGUCCAUGUUGUUGUUGGCUAGAUGGUAAUGGCUCAUCAGAAUAUACACACACGAGUGUAUCAUGUAACAAUUGGCAGAGUCACCAGAAUAUAUACACAUUAAAUCUAUUGUUCUGUUUUAUCAUUGUGCUGCAUAUGUUUCUAACUCCACUAUUUCUAUUUUUCUUUAUCACCUUAUCCAACAUUGUAGAUUCCUGUAUUGAUGCAUGCCAACUAUGAAUAUGAUCUUGCAUUAAGCUUUAGCUGGCUGUUAAUUAUGUUGUGCUAGCUGCUGUCUAACCAUGGCCUGCGGUGGCUGGGUGUUUCUUUUGGGCACAGGUGACUUGUACACGAAGUUGUACGACUAGGUGUUUCUUUUGGGUGUGUCCAGCACAUGUUCGAGUUCACUUGCGAUGGGAUUUUGCCUGAUAGGUGUUUGUGGAAAGUGGUGAGGAGAUGUUGAUGAUGCCUACUUACUUGGCUGCUAUGGUGAUGCAUGUACCGGUGAAGCAAGCACACAUGCAAGGCUGGCCCCAUGUAUCUUCCUUGGCUGUGAAUAUCAUCUACAGGAUAGCAGUAUGACCAGGACAAGCUACAAGCUCCCAGCGCGUCUGAUCCAGGGUGCUAGGGCCAACCUGUUACGGAAGAUGGCCAUGCUCACGAGCCCCUUUGGAUCAAAAUAGGAUGGCAAGUUGUGGCAGCUGGAGCAUGUCUCGUAAGAGAGAGCAAUCAAAUCCCUCUAUUGUAUAUUCCGUAAAAAGGCUGUUCUGUAAAAAAAUACAUUGUACUAUUAUGAUAGUAGCAGAUGUGCCUUCAUUUUCUUUAUUGUAUAUUACCUCUGUUCCUGCUAUAUUUCUGUGUAGGGAAAUGUAUUCCUGAGAUGAUUUUUUGUGUUAUGUAAACCUGGGAGAUGUUUUAUGUGAUGUGAUAUGAUGGUUGACUUGAA